CCUACGGGUGGCAGCAGUGAGGAAUAUUGGUCAAUGGGCGGGAGCCUGAACCAGCCAAGCCGCGUGAAGGAAGAAGGUACUUAGUAUUGUAAACUUCUUUUGUCGGGGAACAAAGGCGGAGACGCGUCUCCGGAUGAGUGUACCCGAAGAACAAGCAUCGGCUAACUCCGUGCCAGCAGCCGCGGUAAAACGGGGGAUACGAGCGUUAUCCGGAUUGAUUGGGUUAAAAGGGUGCGCAGGCGGGAGAUCAAGUCAGCGGUAAAAUGUCGGGGCUUAACCCCGGCCGGCCGUUGAAACUGGUUGUCUAGAGUCGGAGAGAAGUAGGUGGAAUUCGAGGUGUAGCGGUGAAAUGCAUAGAGAUCACGAAGAACUCCGAUGGCGAAGGCAGCAUACCGGCUCCAUACUGACGCUGAGGCACGAAAGCGUGGGGAUCGAACAGGAUUAGAUACCCCAGUAGUC
rnacentral:rRNA from 1 species